GACGAACGCUGGCGGCGUGCCUAAUACAUGCAAGUAGAACGCUGAAGGAGGAGCUUGCUCUUCUGGAUGAGUUGCGAACGGGUGAGUAACGCGUAGGUAACCUGCCUGGUAGCGGGGGAUAACUAUUGGAAACGAUAGCUAAUACCGCAUAACAGUAGAUGCUGCAUGACAUUUGCUUAAAAGGUGCAAUUGCAUCACUACCAGAUGGACCUGCGUUGUAUUAGCUAGUUGGUGGGGUAACGGCUCACCAAGGCGACGAUACAUAGCCGACCUGAGAGGGUGAUCGGCCACACUGGGACUGAGACACGGCCCAGACUCCUACGGGAGGCAGCAGUAGGGAAUCUUCGGCAAUGGACGGAAGUCUGACCGAGCAACGCCGCGGGAGUGAAGAAGGUUUUCGGAUCGUAAAGCUCUGUUGUAAGAGAAGAACGAGUGUGAGAGUGGAAAGUUCACACUGUGACGGUAUCUUACCAGAAAGGGACGGCUAACUACGUG
rnacentral:rRNA from 1 species